GGCGGCGACGCUUAACACAUGCAAGUCGAACGGUGAAAGUAGCUUGCUACUUGGAUCAGUGGCGGACGGGUGAGUAACACGUGAGCGAAUCUGCCUCUAAGUGGGGGAAGUAACGAACUGGAAACGGUCCGGUAAUACCGCAUAACAUAGCCGAACGCAUGAUUUGGUUAUCAAAGAUUUAUCGCUUAGAGAUGAGCUCGCGUCUGAUUAGCUAGUUGGUGAGGUAACGGCCCACCAAGGCGACGAUCAGUAGCCGGACUGAGAGGUUGAACGGCCACAUUGGGACUGAGACACGGCCCAGACUCCUACGGGAGGCAGCAGUGGGGAAUAUUGCACAAUGGGCGCAAGCCUGAUGCAGCGAUGCCGCGUGAGGGAAGAAGGUUUUCGGAUUGUAAACCUCUGUUGACAGGGACGAUAAUGACGGUACCUGUUCAGAAAGCUCCGGCUAACUACGUGCCAGCCGCCGC
rnacentral:rRNA from 1 species